rnacentral:rRNA from 1 species
CCUACGGGAGGCAGCAGUGAGGAAUAUUGGUCAAUGGGCGCGAGCCUGAACCAGCCAAGUAGCGUGAAGGAUGACUGCCCUACGGGUUGUAAACUUCUUUUAUAAAGGAAUAAAGUGAGGCACGUGUGCCUUUUUGUAUUUACUUUAUGAAUAAGGAUCGGCUAACUCCGUGCCAGCAGACGAGGUAAUACGGAGGAUCCGAGGGUUAUCCGGAUUUAUUGGGUUUUAAGGGAGCGUAGAUGGGUUGGUAAGUCAGUUGUGAAAGUUUGCGGCGCAACCGUAAAAUUGCAAUUGAAACUGGCAGUCUUGAGUACAGUUGAGGUAGGCGGAAUUCGUGGUGUAGCGGUGAAAUGCUUAGAUAUCACGAAGAACUCCGAUUGCGAAGGCAGCUUACUAAACUGCCACUGACAUUGAUGCUCGAAAGUGUGGGUAUCAAACAGGAUUAGAUACCCGUGUAGUC